rnacentral:lncRNA from 1 species
CUGAUGAUCCCGUAGCUGACUCAGUUACAAGAGAAUCAACAGUUCGAGAAUCCGGAUCAGGUGAGGAAGCAGUUAACAGAGAAUCUAUAUCUAUUGCCCCGGGUGGUGUUGAAAGGGGAGUGAGAGUGUAGUCGGAUAGAUCUUAAUCCGUUCGAUAAGAAGUAGUGUGCAGGAGGUAAGGAGUUCGAUAAGAAGUAUGCAGGAGGUAAGGAAAUGAUGUUUCUUUGAGUUUGAAAGAACACUAAACUGUGACUGAAGAUCAACUGUCUUGACUUAUAGGUUAAUGCUUGACCUUUACGCGUUGCUGGUGGACUUAUUUAUGGAGUUAUAGUUGCUGUCGCUGGUGGCUCUUCAGUGUUGUUUGAUGGAAUGGCUUGCUUUGCUGCGUCACGCUUAAGUGGAAAGAGUGAGCAAGUGUAUUGUUCUGUCCCAACUCCUUGUCUGGCUUCCUCUUGUUCCGUAGCUUGUAGU